AAUCCUGAGGGAUUUGCGCUUAUGAGGCGGAUAAAUCCUUAAGGACAGUGCGAUCAGCACGCCUCAGGUAUUGCAUCACGGUUUGAUAUUUUGCAGGUCUAAUUAGCUGUUUACUAUGCGGGUGUCUACAUCAAAUUACUACACUCACAAGAGAUAAGUUCCUCUGAACUCUAUUUGAAUUUAUUCUUUAUAAUAUUUGUUGAAUUACUUAAAUUAAUAUAUGGUUGAAUAUUGUGAUUAGGUCCAAUGUUUACAACAGAA
rnacentral:lncRNA from 1 species